rnacentral:rRNA from 1 species
ACUCCUACGGGAGGCAGCAGUGGGGAAUAUUGCACAAUGGGGGAAACCCUGAUGCAGCCAUGCCGCGUGUGUGAAAAGGCCUUCGGGUUGUAAAGCACUUUCAGUAGGGAGGAAGGUAGUGUAGUUAACACCUGCAUUAUUUGACGUUACCUACAGAAGAAGCACCGGCUAACUCCGUGCCAGCAGCCGCGGUAAUACGGAGGGUGCGAGCGUUAAUCGGAAUCAUUGGGUUUAAAGGGUCCGUAGGUGGAUGAUUAAGUCAGAGGUGAAAGUCUGCAGCUCAACUGUAGAAUUGCCUUUGAUACUGGUUAUCUUGAGUUAUUAUGAAGUAGUUAGAAUAUGUAGUGUAGCGGUGAAAUGCAUAGAUAUUACAUAGAAUACCAAUUGCGAAGGCAGAUUACUAAUAAUAUACUGACACUGAUGGACGAAAGCGUGGGGAGCGAACAGGAUUAGAUACCCUGGUAGGAUAGCGU